GAUGAACGCUGGCGGCGUGCCUAAUACAUGCAAGUCGAGCGAACAGAUGAGGAGCUUGCUCCUCUGACGUUAGCGGCGGACGGGUGAGUAACACGUGGAUAACCUACCUAUAAGACUGGGAUAACUACGGGAAACCGGAGCUAAUACCGGAUAAUAUAUUGAACCGCAUGGUUCAAUAGUGAAAGACGGUUUUGCUGUCACUUAUAGAUGGAUCCGCGCCGCAUUAGCUAAUUGGUAAGGUAACGGCUUACCAAGGCAACGAUGCGUAGCCGACCUGAGAGGGUGAUCGGCCACACUGGAACUGAGACACGGUCCAGACUCCUACGGGAGGCAGCAGUAGGGAAUCUUCCGCAAUGGGCGAAAGCCUGACGGAGCAACGCCGCGUGAGUGAUGAAGGUCUUCGGAUCGUAAAACUCUGUUAUUAGGGAAGAACAAAUGUGUAAGUAACUAUGCACGUCUUGACGGUACCUAAUCAGAAAGCCACGGCUAACUACGUG
rnacentral:rRNA from 1 species